CUAAUACAUGCAAGUAGAACGCUGAAGCUUGGUGCUUGCACCGAGCGGAUGAGUUGCGAACGGGUGAGUAACGCGUAGGUAACCUGCCUCUUAGCGGGGGAUAACUAUUGGAAACGAUAGCUAAUACCGCAUAAAAGUCGACAUCGCAUGAUAUUGAUUUGAAAGGUGCAAUUGCAUCACUAAGAGAUGGACCUGCGUUGUAUUAGCUAGUUGGUGAGGUAACGGCUCACCAAGGCGACGAUACAUAGCCGACCUGAGAGGGUGAUCGGCCACACUGGGACUGAGACACGGCCCAGACUCCUACGGGAGGCAGCAGUAGGGAAUCUUCGGCAAUGGGGGCAACCCUGACCGAGCAACGCCGCGUGAGUGAAGAAGGUUUUCGGAUCGUAAAGCUCUGUUGUAAGAGAAGAACGAGUGUGAGAGUGGAAAGUUCACACUGUGACGGUAACUUACCAGAAAGGGACGGCUAACUACGUGCCAGCAGCCGCGGUAAUACGUAGGUCCCGAGCGUUAUCCGGAUUUAUUGGGCGUAAAGCGAGCGCAGGCGGUUAGAUAAGUCUGAAGUUAAAGGCUGUGGCUUAACCAUAGUACGCUUUGGAAACUGUUUAACUUGAGUGCAGAAGGGGAGAGUGGAAUUCCAUGUGUAGCGGUGAAAUGCGUAGAUAUAUGGAGGAACACCGGUGGCGAAAGCGGCU
rnacentral:rRNA from 1 species